rnacentral:sRNA from 1 species
AUGUGACACUCCUACACUCCGGUCACUCCGCGCCGUCCGCAACCACCUGACACCUGCUCGCUGCGUUUUGUUAGCC